rnacentral:rRNA from 1 species
GGGGCUAGCGUUGCUCGGAAUUACUGGGCGUAAAGCGCACGUAGGCGGAUUGUUACGUCGGGGGUGAAAUCCUGGAGCUCAACUCCAGAACUGCCUUCGAUACUGGCGAUCUCGAGUUCGGGAGAGGUGAGUGGAACUGCGAGUGUAGAGGUGAAAUUCGUAGAUAUUCGCAAGAACACCAGUGGCGAAGGCGGCUCACUGGCCCGAUACUGACGCUGAGGUGCGAAAGCGUGGGGAGCAAACAGG